AGUACAGGAAGUCCCCUUCCCAUCACAUUUCUGCUCACCACGGCUGGUGCCAGCGGGACUGCAGAGAGGACCACUGGAGAACCCGCGGUUCCCCCACCUCAGACGUCCGUCCGUGUGCAGGUAUCGCAAAGGAGCAGCAGCAGCGUCACUGCGAGAUGCACACAUCCAUUCCACUGCCAGCCUCCCACACCCCGACAUCUGGAACGCCACAACCGCUCGCUGAGACAUGAAAACGCAGAGCUUUGGAACAGGUGCUCACAGAAAUAGGAGAGCCUCCCCACCUGGAAGUAUUGAGGAGACGUGUGGAUGUGGCACCGAGGGACCUGGUUUAGUGACUGGAAUCGAUUGCCUUUAGUAAAAGUGCCCGAGUAGCUGUGCUUAACUUGUUUAGAUUCAACCUGAAAUGAAUCAGGAGCUGAUGGUAUAAGAUGCUAUUUAGGCAUGAGACCAAACCUCCCACCGAUUCAACUUAAACUCUGGAAUUGUUUGUUUCUGCUGUGGAGCAUCAAUGAAGUACGCAGCCAUGCAGUCAUUUCUCCGAACAUUCACAGACGAAGACUUGCUGUUCCAUAAAACUGCCAGUAUUUUAACAGGAAGAAGGAUGCCCUCUGUGCUGUAGAUAUUCAGAACUGCUCUCUGGUGAUCACUUGCUACUAUUUCAUUGUGUAAGAUGUCUCAGCAGUGCAAGUUUCCUCCAUGGACCUACCACCUGAAAGUCUGGCUUUUUGAAGGAGCAGUGAAAGAGACUGCGAAGUAUCUUCUUACAGAUGAAUGGUUUUCCUCCUGAUUUCAGUCCAAAACCAGGACAGCAGUCCUCCCUCAAUCACUUUAAAAUUUCUCUUGAGACCAAACGUGGGAGAUAUGGGUUUGAAAAGUAGGCUGUCACCUGGAAGUGAUGGACAUAAAUGUUAUAAGUCUCACCAUCACCCCAGCAAUGUGAUUCUAUAGGAACAUUUGCAGUCAGUGGGGGACUCUAUCCACAAAGCAUCUUCUGAUGGAGGAACAAAAUCAAGAGAUGGAUGAGCACGAAGGAAAAGGAAGUCCUGUACUUCUUAACUUUCUAGUGCAGCAGUCCUGGCAAAGACUGCAAUGCACGCUCAUUUCAUUACCCUGCCCAGUGUGCUUUGAUCUCGUAUGGUUGUCCCCAGAUUAUAAAUCCUGAGGGACCAUUGAAUCAUCUGAUCUGACCUCUUGUGUGUUUGCAGGCUAUUAAAUUUCGUUCAU
rnacentral:lncRNA from 7 species